rfam:Myotis lucifugus cont2.47879, whole genome shotgun sequence.
AGACAUAUUUUUCUACUCAGAUAAAGAGUACCUAACCUUCCCUCAGACGAGCUGAGAGUAGAGAGGCCAGGCUUCCUUCCCCUGGGAGAGGUGGUUAAGAAAGGAGCCUCACCUAGACUGCCCUUGCCUCACAUUA